CUUGACCGAGCCCAGCCACAGCGGCCGGUCCCGCGGCCGGUCCUGGCCGUAGACCGCCUGCAGCGCCUGGGCCUC
rfam:Streptomyces sp. MTSC 1 65, whole genome shotgun sequence.